UGAGUUUGAUCAUGGCUCAGAACGUACGCUGGCGGCACGCCUAACACAUGCAAGUCGAACGAAGUAGCAAUACUUAGUGGCAGACGGGUGAGUAACAUGUGGGUAUCUUCCCUUUGGCCUGGAAUAACACGAGGAAACUUGUGCUAAUACCGGAUAAGUCUUUACGGAGAAAGCUUUAUGCACCAUUGGAUGAGCCCGCACUUGAUUAGUUAGUUGGUAGGGUAAAGGCCUACCAAGACUUUGAUCAAUAGCUGAUUUGAGAGGAUGAUCAGCCACAUUGGGACUGAGACACGGCCCAAACUCCUACGGGAGGCAGCAGUGGGGAAUCUUGCACAAUGGAGGAAACUCUGAUGCAGCGAUGCCGCGUGAGUGAAGAAGGCCUUUGGGUUGUAAAGCACUUUCGUCGGGGAAGAAAAUGACUGUACCCGAAUAAGAAGGUCCGGCUAACUUCGUGCCAGCAGCCGCGGUAAUACGAAGGGACCUAGCGUAGUUCGGAAUUACUGGGCUUAAAGAGUUCGUAGGUGGUUGAAAAAGUUGGUGGUGAAAUCCCAGAGCUUAACUCUGGAACUGCCAUCAAAACUUUUCAGC
rnacentral:rRNA from 1 species